GCUGGCCAUGGUGGUGCAUGCUUGUAUUCCCAGCUACUCUAGAGGCAAGGCAGGACGAUAGCUUGAGCCCAGGAGUUCAGGGCCAACCUGGGAAACAUAGAGUAAGACCCUGACUCU
rnacentral:sRNA from 1 species